AGAACGAACGCUGGCGGCAUGCCUAACACAUGCAAGUCGAACGAGACCUUCGGGUCUAGUGGCGCACGGGUGCGUAACGCGUGGGAAUCUGCCCUUGGGUUCGGAAUAACAGUUGGAAACGACUGCUAAUACCGGAUGAUGACGUAAGUCCAAAGAUUUAUCGCCCAGGGAUGAGCCCGCGUAGGAUUAGCUAGUUGGUGAGGUAAAGGCUCACCAAGGCGACGAUCCUUAGCU
rnacentral:rRNA from 1 species